rnacentral:rRNA from 1 species
CCUACGGGGGGCAGCAGUGAGGAAUAUUGGUCAAUGGACGAGAGUCUGAACCAGCCAUGCCGCGUGAAGGAUGACUGCCCUAUGGGUUGUAAACUUCUUUUAUAAAGGAGUAAAACGAGACACGUGUGCCUUUUUGCAUGUACUUUAUGAAUAAGGAUCGGCUAACUCCGUGCCAGCAGCCGCGGUAAUACGGAGGAUCCGAGCGUUAUCCGGAUUUAUUGGGUUUAAAGGGAGCGUAGAUGGGUUGUUAAGUUAGUUGUGAAAGUUUGCGGCUCAACCGUAGAAUUGCAAUUGAUACUGGCAGUCUUGAGUACAGUUGAGGUAGGCGGAAUUCGUGGUGUAGCGGUGAAAUGCUUAGAGAUCACGAAGAACCCCGAUUGCGAAGGCAGCUUACUAAACUGUGACUGACAUUGAGGCUCGAAAGUGUGGGGAUCAAACAGGAUUAGAUACCCUUGUAGUC